rnacentral:rRNA from 1 species
AUGGUGACCGCCGAGGCCGCGAUGGCGGUCCCGAGGGCUGUGCGCCCCUUCUUCCGUGGUGCCCAUGACGGCCUCGCGUUCGCCGCAAAUGCCGCGUUCCUCGCCGACGGAUACUCCUUCUGCGCCGUCGGUCCUUCCGCGCUCAACGCCCCACUGCCCGCAGGGGAAUUAUGCCAAAAACUCUCCACAUUCUGCUGGUACUCCAAGUACAAGUUACGCCAACCAACGAAGCAGUAUACGCUAUGGUGUGACACUGUCCUUAAAACAGCAAGACUGGCUGUUAGUGUCAUUGCCCUUUUAAAAGAACAAACUCGCGCUUCAAAACUUUCUUUCGCUGAUGUUACCAAGAGAGUAGCAGAAUUUGAGAGAGGGCACCAUGCAUUCAUUUCAAAAGAUGCAACACUUGUUGAAAGAUAUGUUGUGGUGCAUGGACAGAUAAUCCUUCAACAGAUCGCAAAUUAUCCAGACGAGUAUAUUCGACGGUGCGCCUUCGUCACAGGCCUUGUCAAGAAGAUGGAAGAAAGAGGUCACACAAAGCUAGCAAUGAAGAAGAAAUAUCAAGUGGCGAGAGGAGGGAAUCUGAACCCAAGUGCAAAAGUGACCCCAAUAUCAAAACGAAAUCUUAUGCGUGCGACAACCACAAAGUUGGUCAGCAGGAUAUGGGGUGAUUACUAUGCAACCCAUUUCCUGGAGGAUUCAAAGGAGGGGGUGAGAAUGAUGAGCACAAGGUAUUUGACGAGGAACAGGAAGAAAAUGAAGAAGAUGAUGCUGAAGGGGAGGUUGAAGUUGGCGAGGAACAUGUUUCGAGGACCUUGCCACCAACAAGUCACAUUGGAAGGUGAUUCAGGAGAAGCCAUUAUGUGCUUUGUUGAGUAUAUAUUUGAGACACAUGAUGGCACACGAAUGAUUCACGGAAGAGUUCUGCAAAAUGGUUCGCACACUGUCCUCGGCAACGGCGCAAACGAAAGAGAGGUGUUCUUUACCAAUGACUGUUUACAGUUCAAAGUAGGUGACAUGAGAGAAUCAGUUACUGUUAGCUUCCAGCUAAUUCCCUGGGGUCACAAGUGCAGAAAAGACCACUUGGAAGCUAUUAGGGUGGAGAGGGCCAAUGCAGAGGAUAGGAAGAAGAAAGGUUUGCCGGUGGAGUAUAUCUGCAAAAGCUUAUACUGUCCUGAGAUAGGUGCCUUUUUCUCCCUCCCUUAUAAGAAAAUGGCUAAUGGACCUGGCACUUGUAGUUCCUGUGAGGAGCGAGUAGAGGAAGGUGACGAAUUCAAAAUACUGUCAGAGACCAGCUUUGUCCUCAGAAUUGUCACAUACAAUAUUCAUGACUUCCUGUUUAUCAAGCCCGAGUUUUUCCCUCGAGUCGAGGGUCGUGGGACCUACCGGGCUGGAAGAAAUGUGGGCCUGAAGCCCUAUGUGGUGUACUACAGUGAAGAUAUAGUUAGUGUGCCUGUUGGGAUGAUAGAGGGAAAAUAUGAGGUUACAGCAAAGGAUGACCUUCCAAAUUCAAAUCUUCCAGUAGUAGUUGAGCACGCCUUUUACUGUGAACAUUUAUAUGAUCCUGGCACUGGAGCUCUCAAGCAGCUAUCGACCAAUGUUAAGUUCACCCUGGAAAGGAAGGCGCCUGCUUCGAGAAAGAAUAAAGGGAAGCAGAUUUGUGACGAUGAGCAAGCCGGUUCGGAUAAACACAAGGAUGAAACACCAGAGAACUGUCUUGCAACCCUUGAUAUUUUUGCUGGCUGUGGAGAGUAUUUCCGGCCUAGGUUCUUCCUUUUGGAAAACGUCAGGAACUUUGUUUCGUUUAACAAGGGCCGGACCUUCAGACUGACACUAGCAUUGCUCCUGGAGAUGGGGUACCAAGUUCGAUUCGGUAUUUUAGAGGAAGGUGCUUAUGACAUCUCGUAG